UUAAAUAAAAAUCGGGGUUGUUGCUGCCUUUCGUGGUGACGCGUCGGAAUUGAGUCUUCUUAUCUUUGGUUAAGUGACUUAAAAUUUUUAUGAUUUUCGAACGUAUUUAAAUUGCUUACGUACGUUUGAGAUAUCGAAUAUUUUAUUAGGUUCGGUCAUCCUUAUGACUCGCGUCUAUAAUUUUUUCAUU
rnacentral:misc_RNA from 1 species